GCACUGUGAGGAGACAGCUACCACAUCAUGCUAAACUUACCCAGCACCGUGGGAAGGUCUGUUGAGAAGGAGCUUAGCCCACCAACUGCCAUCACAGGGAAGACUGAGGCAGGAGGAUUGCCAUAAGUUUGAGGACAUCCUACCUGAACUAUGAGUUGGGACCCUGUCUCAAAAAAAACACAGCCAGAGGCUGGCUGACUUCCUUUGGAACCUCUGCUCUUUAGCCACCAGCUGUCUGUCUUCUGAUGGGAAUCCUGCCUCUAGUGACCUCCUUACCUCAGAUAAUUUGUCUACCUGUUAAUGACUCUGCUUCUUGGACUACGUCCCAGUAGAUGCCAUGCUUUCAGCCU
ensembl:processed_transcript 4930417H01Rik RIKEN cDNA 4930417H01 gene